AUUUAUUAGAGCAGCUGUCGAUGUGGGCAGGUGUUCAUAAAACGUGAUUUUAAUAGUUUGGCGUGACUCCUUUUUCAUUGCCCGGGAUUUAGCAGGCAGACGCAGCUUCUGCAAUGGUCGACAUUAACUGCUCCCAGCAGCGGAUCUGAUUAACACGAUACCAAAGUGAUUUUAUUACCUGUGGAUCUUCAAACUUCACAUCCAGAGUUGUGAGGAAUCAGAGGUGCAUGCGGCUGCCCACGGGAAAAAUUUGCCAUCAGCCCAACACAGUUUGGAUUAUCAUAGGACUGUCAGAGGUUUGCCAAACCUGUCAAAUGCAUGAUGGCUCCUGUUUGGACUUACCGAUGUCCUCGACUUCAAGUAUCCAUCAAAACUGUAUACAUUUGAGAUAUAUUAGAGACUCUUUGUGGGACUAGACAUUAUACAUCCUAAAUCUUUAUCAAAAUAUGCAAAUCUCCUCACUGAGUUGCCUUGGAUGAUUUCUCAAUAGGAUCUGGUAUUAUUAAUGUUUUUAUUUAUGUAUUGUGUACGUGUAGCCACAUUAAUGGCCUAUUUUGUAGUCACUAUUAAAAGGAACAUCGAUUGAUAUUGAAUACAUGUUAUGGUCUUUAAUCCAUCUUCCCAUUCUUAUUUAAUUGUUAUUGACAGGAAAGUCUGUUUAUCUGUUUUUACUAGUGUAUAUUGUGCUUACAAUAUAGAAACGAAGAUUUAUUUUCUGAGGUUACAGCCAGAAGUCAAUUAAAUUAGUUUUAAAUGACAUAUGCAUGGUUAAUUUUAUUUAGAUAAUUAAGUUCAUAAUACUUAAUUAAAAUGAGUACAGUCAACAUAUAGCAAUGUAUAAGUAAGUUAAGUUUAACAAAAAAAGUAAGUUUAUCUGAUUUGAGUAAUUUUAGAAAUAUUAGUUGGCUCAACUUAAUUUUAUUGCAUUUGUUUUAAGCAAUGUUUUAGUGUUUAAAAUACUUAAAAAAGGCUGGAAGUUGAAUCAACCUAAAACGUCCGAUGCAACCACUUGCCUCACUUUUUAUAAGUUAGAUCUAAGUAACAUUUUUUACAGUGCUG
ensembl:processed_transcript